GAUUAGAACCUACUGGAAAACACCCAGGAGGGAGCUUUGGCCUAGGUAGCUUCAGGUAAAACUUCAGUGUCUCACUUAGCUGAAUGUUUUCAUAAAGGAACACCCAACUUAGUUUGCCAGGGACAUGAAUACCAUAGAUUCUUAGUCAUCAGAAGCACAUAGAGAAGGAAUAGGUAGAAUAAAAAAACACAUCAGUGAAAGAUAGUACUUUUUAGGAAACUCAAAUUUAUAUCUAAAAUUAUUUUUGAAAAAAUUAAGUCAAUUUAAAUGAUUAUAUGACAAAUACAGUGAAUACUGAGAUAUAUUUAGUGCUUCAGUUUUUUAAACUAUUUGCUUCUGUUUAUAGCAUUGCAAGUAUAAGUUAUUUAAAUCCUAUAUAUCUAUUGUACUAACUGCCAAAGCUUCCAGAACUCUAUAAAGUGAUGUGAAAUAAUCUUCCUAAUCAUUAUUUCUUUAUUUCACAAUUCUGUUUUGGAUGGGUGAAGACCACUUUAACCCAUGGAUUACAUGUACUCAUAAAUUAUUCCCUAGAGGAAGUUAUAUACUCAUCCUAAAACAAAAGAAUUGUCCUGUGGUUUAAUUAUGGUGAUUAAUAUGUAGGAACUAUGUGGUAUUUUGAGCUGAUUUUUAUAACACUUCCUUGUAUCAGAAAUAAACACCUUGGACUAGAGGUCAACAUUUGGGAGUCUGGUUAGAAAUCUGGAAAAACACAGCUAAGUCUGAAAGUUACAUGGAUGUUCAAGUGUAUUUCUUGAAUUGUUGAAAUAGGAUGCAAAAUUUCAGAACACAGAAUCUCAGUUGUCUAGCAAACUUUAUCUUUUUUCCAUUUACUGAAUCUUACAAGGUUCCAAAAAUCUGACAAAACAUUUAAACGGUACUGCAGAUUAUAUUACCUAUAGAUACUAUUAUUUUAGUGAUUUGUUCCACCUUUGUGUGACUGUUACAUUUAAUUGAGGAACAAAUAUUUAGCUAUUUGAUAGUGGUUUCCUUUUAUUACAAUUCACAGUUAUUUACAUGAGAAUCUAUUUUCCCAGAAUGUGAGCUCUGAAAUCAUACCAAGUUUAAAUCCUAGCUCAUCCACUUAUUUAACUAACUGUAUGUCCUUGGGGACAUUACCCAACUUCUCUAUUUUAGUAUCUUUAUCUGUGAAAUGGAAACAAUAAUGUCACCAGUCUUAUAGAGAGUUACUGUGAAGGUUAAAUGAGACCAUAAUGUGUGAAGUGCUAAACAUCCUCCACACAAAGCACUCAAUAUUAGCUGCUGCUGUUGCAUAAUUGUGAAGAAAAG